GAUUAACGCUGGCGGCGUGCCUAACACAUGCAAGUCGAGCGGCAGCGAGUUUUACACUUAAUUCUGUAUGCUUCUAGUUGCAUGAGAAGAUUUAUUCAAGAAUUUUGUGUAAAAUGUCGUCGAGCGGCGGACGGCUGAGUAACGCGUGGGAACGUACCCCAAAGUGUGGUAUAACGCAUCGAAAUGUGUUCUAAUACCGCAUAUGGUCUUCGGAUUAAAUCCUUCGGGCGCUUUGGGAACGGCCUGCGUAAGAUUAGAUAGUUGGUGGGGUAAUGGCCUAGCAAGUCGACGAUCGAUAACUGGUAAGAGAGGAAGAAAAGUCAGACUGGAACUGAGACACGGAACAGAAAACUACGGGAGGCAGCAGUGAGGAAUAUACCAAAAUGGGCGAAAGCAUGAUGGAGCAACGACGCGUGAAGGAUGAAGGCAUUCGGGUUGUAAAGUGAUUUUAUAAGUGAGGAUUAUGACAGUAACUAAUGAAUAAGGAUCGGCUAACUACGUG
rnacentral:rRNA from 1 species